rnacentral:sRNA from 1 species
AUUGUAAAAGUCAAAACUUGAGUUCAACAUAACAUUAUCCCUACUAAGGAGCAAGUAGUCUGUUCCUAUUCUGACCAAAGCAGUUGAUGAGGAGUCUGGAGUACCUGGGACUGGCGAUGAGAAUGCGGAAUAGAGGCCCUCUCCUUAAGGCGGCAGCAAAUAGGUGAAAGAUUGAAUGAAUGGGCAGUCUUCAGUGAAAAGAACAAGGAACUCUGUGAGUGGUUGACUCAAAUGGAAAGCAAAGUUUCUCAGAAUGGAGACAUUCUCAUUGAAGAAAUGAUAGAGAAGCUCAAGAAGGAUUAUCAAGAGGAAAUUGCUAUUGCCCAAGAGAACAAAAUACAGCUCCAACAAAUGGGAGAACGACUUGCUAAAGCCAGCCAUGAAAGCAAAGCAUCUGAGAUUGAAUACAAGCUGGGAAAGGUCAACGACCGGUGGCAGCAUCUCCUGGACCUCAUUGCAGCCAGGGUGAAGAAGCUGAAGGAGACCCUGGUAGCCGUGCAGCAGCUUGAUAAGAACAUGAGCAGCCUGAGGACCUGGCUCGCUCACAUCGAGUCAGAGCUGGCCAAGCCAAUAGUCUACGAUUCCUGUAACUCGGAAGAAAUACAGAGAAAGCUUAAUGAGCAGCAGGAGCUUCAGAGAGACAUAGAGAAGCACAGUACAGGUGUUGCAUCUGUCCUCAACCUGUGUGAAGUCCUGCUGCACGACUGUGACGCCUGUGCCACUGAUGCCGAGUGUGACUCUAUACAGCAGGCUACGAGAAACCUGGACCGGCGGUGGAGAAACAUUUGUGCUAUGUCCAUGGAAAGGAGGCUGAAAAUCGAAGAGACGUGGCGAUUGUGGCAGAAAUUUCUGGAUGACUAUUCACGUUUUGAAGAUUGGCUGAAGUCUUCAGAAAGGACAGCUGCUUUUCCCAGCUCUUCUGGGGUGAUCUAUACAGUUGCCAAGGAAGAACUAAAGAAAUUUGAGGCUUUCCAGCGACAGGUCCACGAGUGCCUGACGCAGCUGGAACUGAUCAACAAGCAGUACCGCCGCCUGGCCAGGGAGAACCGCACUGAUUCAGCGUGUAGCCUCAAACAGAUGGUUCACGAAGGCAACCAGAGAUGGGACAACCUGCAAAAGCGUGUCACCUCCAUCUUGCGCAGACUCAAGCAUUUUAUUGGCCAGCGUGAGGAGUUUGAGACUGCGCGGGACAGCAUUCUGGUCUGGCUCACAGAGAUGGAUCUGCAGCUCACUAAUAUUGAACAUUUUUCUGAGUGUGAUGUUCAAGCUAAAAUAAAGCAACUCAAGGCCUUCCAGCAGGAAAUUUCACUGAACCACAAUAAGAUUGAGCAGAUAAUUGCCCAAGGAGAACAGCUGAUAGAAAAGAGUGAGCCCUUGGAUGCAGCGAUCAUCGAGGAGGAACUAGAUGAGCUCCGACGGUACUGCCAGGAGGUCUUCGGGCGUGUGGAAAGAUACCAUAAGAAACUGAUCCGCCUGCCUCUCCCAGACGAUGAGCAUGACCUCUCAGACAGAGAGCUGGAGCUGGAAGACUCUGCAGCUCUGUCAGACCUGCACUGGCACGACCGCUCUGCAGACAGCCUGCUUUCUCCACAGCCUUCCUCCAACCCCUCCCUCUCGCUCGCUCAGCCCCUCCGGAGCGAGCGGUCAGGACGAGACACCCCGGCUAGUGUGGACUCCAUCCCCCUGGAGUGGGAUCACGACUAUGACCUCAGUCGGGACCUGGAGUCUGCAAUGUCCAGAGCUCUGCCCUCUGAGGAUGAAGAGGGUCAGGAUGACAAAGAUUUCUACCUCCGGGGAGCUGUUGGCUUAUCAGGGGACCACAGUGCCCUAGAGUCACAGAUCCGACAACUGGGCAAAGCCCUGGAUGAUAGCCGCUUUCAGAUACAGCAAACCGAAAAUAUCAUUCGCAGCAAAACUCCCACGGGGCCGGAGCUAGACACCAGCUACAAAGGCUACAUGAAACUGCUGGGCGAAUGCAGUGGCAGUAUAGACUCCGUGAAGAGACUGGAGCACAAACUGAAGGAGGAAGAGGAGAGCCUUCCUGGCUUUGUUAACCUGCAUAGUACCGAAACCCAAACGGCUGGUGUGAUUGACCGAUGGGAGCUUCUCCAGGCCCAGGCAUUGAGCAAGGAGUUGAGGAUGAAGCAGAACCUCCAGAAGUGGCAGCAGUUUAACUCAGACUUGAACAGCAUCUGGGCCUGGCUGGGGGACACGGAGGAGGAGUUGGAACAGCUCCAGCGUCUGGAACUCAGCACUGACAUCCAGACCAUUGAGCUCCAGAUCAAAAAGCUCAAGGAGCUCCAGAAAGCUGUGGACCACCGCAAAGCCAUCAUCCUCUCCAUCAAUCUCUGCAGCCCUGAGUUCACCCAGGCUGACAGCAAGGAGAGCCGGGACCUGCAGGAUCGCUUGUCGCAGAUGAAUGGGCGCUGGGACCGAGUGUGCUCUCUGCUGGAGGAGUGGCGGGGCCUGCUGCAGGAUGCCCUGAUGCAGUGCCAGGGUUUCCAUGAAAUGAGCCAUGGUUUGCUUCUUAUGCUGGAGAACAUUGACAGAAGGAAAAAUGAAAUUGUCCCUAUUGAUUCUAACCUUGAUGCAGAGAUACUUCAGGACCAUCAUAAACAGCUUAUGCAAAUAAAGCAUGAGCUGUUGGAAUCCCAACUCAGAGUAGCCUCUUUGCAAGACAUGUCUUGCCAACUACUGGUGAAUGCUGAAGGAACAGACUGUUUAGAAGCCAAAGAAAAAGUCCAUGUUAUUGGAAAUCGGCUCAAACUUCUCUUGAAGGAGGUCAGUCGUCAUAUCAAGGAACUGGAGAAGUUAUUAGACGUGUCAAGUAGUCAGCAGGAUUUGUCUUCCUGGUCUUCUGCUGAUGAACUGGACACCUCAGGGUCUGUGAGUCCCACAUCAGGAAGGAGCACCCCAAACAGACAGAAAACGGUCCACAAAAGGUGGCUCCGAUUCCUCCCUUUCUGAGCCAGGGCCAGGUCGGUCCGGCCGCGGCUUCCUGUU